rnacentral:lncRNA from 1 species
CAGUGUUCAUUCACUGUAAAAAUGGAGCAAGGAGAUGUGUGUUAUGACAGAGAUACUAGAUCAGAGAAUCCAAUAUAAAGACUACUUGUUAUGUUUAUGAUUUCAAAAUUAAUGGAGCAUAAAAGAAUAAGUUUAAAUGCAAGUGAAGUGGACACAGGAAUGAGAAGACUAUUUUUUUGAGUCCUCAAGGAAGUUUUAUUUACGGAGUAUUCCACAUCAUAACAUCAUGACAUCAUGUAGUGCGCUGGGAGUUAAAGAGUUAAUGCUCCAGUUCUGGGCACCUGUCUGGAAGAGAAGAACUACAUACACCAGGGGGCUUUGCGCUCAGAGAGGAGACAUAACCCCUGGCAAGGUGAUCUGAGAACACCCAAGAAGAUUUUUUGGUGUGUAGACUGAGAAACAAUCUGUAAUGUAGAAAGAACUUUUACUUGACAUAAAUCUCAGAAUAGCUUCUUAACUGUGGAGAAAUGUACUUUUCCUACUACGGUUAAGCUGACUUUUUAUUCCAUUAAUAGGUGUUUAUAUCUUACUGAACUUGAAUACUGAUGGUGAUUAAGACUUCUUUCAAAUUCUCACAGUGUCCUAAAUGUAUGUAAUGUCAAAUAGGAAAUAGCUUGAAGCCUACAUAUGUACUCUUUUACCUGUAAAAUGUAACUGAAUUAUUCCUUUUGAGGUGAAUUUAUUGGUAAAUACAUGUCUUACUAUGAAAACAACAAUAAAACUUGUUGUUGUUUUUAAAAAGCAGUCGUCUGCUUAAAGGCUUUUAAAAAGUCUAUAUGUUUGGCUUAAUUACAUCUUCAAAAUGACUGAAAUAAUCCUUCCAAGCAUCACUUCCUAUUAUCCAGGAUUAUGAAUAAGCCUUUAUUCAAAUUUACAGU